rnacentral:lncRNA from 1 species
UUUGUUUUUGUCUUUUUAGGGCUCUACCUUGUGCAUAUGGAAGUUCCCAGCCUAGAGGUCAAAUUGGGGCUACAGCUACCAGCCUACACCACAGCCACAGCAAUGUGGGAUCCAAGCCAUGUCUGUGACCUACACCACAGCUCAGAGCAAUGCCGGAUCCUCAACCCACUGAGCAAGGCAAGGGAUUGAACCCACAUCCUCAUGGAUACUAGUCAGUUGGUCCUGGACAAGCAGACUGAAAUAGAAGGAAAAGUAUAAAGUGAAAAAGAACCCCUUCCCUUUCCAGAAGGGUGAGGCCUGUUAUGUUUGGAGAAGCAGAACAAGUAACUGCCCUUGGUAUGCCUCAUCCAGAGAGUAUUGUACUCUUGGCUGUGGAUGUGGCCUUGAAAGAGAAAAGCAAACUCUAAGACACUGCUGCUGUCAUCUUCCUUGACUCUAAUCGGAUCAUGAGCGACCUAACACAGGCUCUUUGUUGAGAGAAGAAAAGCACUUCCAUGGGUAUUAUUUUGAAUUCUUUUCCAAAAAUUCCAUUGUGAAUUAGCUGUUUGUUAUGCAGAAAGCAUUUUACCACAAACUGUAUUACAAUUUAAUGUACAUAAUUAUAGUUCCACUUUUUGUCAAGGUUUCAACUUCAAUCAACCACCCAGUUUAACAUUCUUUUUGUGGCAAAACAUUCUAAUUUGGAAGAAGAGGGCUAUCUUCCUGUUCCCGGCAGAUUACUUACUGGCCUGGGGAACAAUGACUGGUACAGAGAAGGUGAGCAGACGAUAUUAUUCUAUAGAUCAUCCCAUUGUUCAUUCCUUCUUCUACCCAUGUCUCAGAAGCAUUAGUCCUGGAGCUAGUGCUCAUGGAUUUACAGAGGAUUCAGCUGGCCCAGUAAGGAGGUGGGGGUUCAGAAGAGGGUAGGCAACCCCAGACAACAGUAAUUUCUUGAUUUGCAGUAAAGAAAAUAAUUUCCUAGGUUUCUUUUUUAGUAAGAGAAAGUUGUUGUUUUCCAUAUUUACAUAAAAGUAAAUAAAUUCCUUUUGAAUCAUCUCGCAUCCUAGAUGCUGUUCAGAUGAGGAAUAUCGUGAGGUUAAGUGUCUUCCUAGAGAGUAGACUCCCUACUAUUUGUUUGCAAAAGGGGAGAAUACAGGGAUAUAAAGCAUUAAUUUUCUCUGAGACAUAGGAAGAGUAGGCGACUGUUAUGGUAUUAGCAACAGUGUGAAGGAUACAUACUUAACAUUAAUAAUUUUACACACACGCAAACACAUCUUAGUUGGAUAAACCUUGGAAAACCCUGUAAACCAAAGCUUUGCUUAAGCUGGCCUUCUGCCCCAAGGGCCCUGCCUUCACUGUGGUAGGAAUGUUGAUGGGCUUCUAUACAGAUGAGAUAACAUUUGGGAUAGACUUUGUUCUAAAGCUGUCCUCCAGAUGUCCAACAUCUAACCCUGCAUUAACUUUCUUUCAGGGUUUAAAAUAUAUUAAAAUGGUUGUAAUUUAUAUUCAUAUGUUUUAAAGGAAAAUAUUUAUAAAAUAUUAGUCAUAUCCCAAUCUGAAGAAUGUAAAACAAUUUACGUAUAAAAACAAAGAUUCUGUAACUGUCAGGAAGAAGAGUUUUCAGUGCCAACAUUGAUGUGUGUAUGUCUGACCGUUCUCCAAAAUGAAUAAGGGAAUCUUGAUUAUGAUGAUAGCAUUCCAUAAGGAAUACACUAGGUAUACUACAGUGUAUUGAUUGAAUUAACUUGUUUAUCUUUUAUUAAAUCAUGCAUAUUUUCUCCCCUCCCAGGAUGGACUUUUUUAGGACACUUCUAAUUUAUUUUUACACUUCCCUUUAUGUUUAAAUAUAGUAAACUGUCACGUACUAUUAGUCAAAGAAAUAAAUUUAUUCUUAUACUGAUACCAGGUUCCUUUUAUGUAUUUGUGUUAGGUUAAUAGAGACUCUGUGGACUUUAGAAUAUUCUAGAAGAGAUGACAAGCUAAAUCAUCCUUAAGAAAUUUCAUCAGCAUUUUCUUAAAAUUUUGUGCCCAGGUGGACUUCAUAAAAGUUCUCUACUUUCUCUUCCAACCAUGAAUUUAUGUUCACUCCAAAAUUUUUUCCCAUUUGCCAACUAGAUUUAAUUUGAUAAAUUAGUUUAAGCUUUUACAAAGCAGCUUUUAACAUUAUAUAUUAUAAAAAAUAUUAAAAUCUAUUCACAUUUGGGUUAACAAUUUAUCUUCUUGAUCUCUAUCCUAAAGAAAUCCCUAACAAGUCAAAUGUGUGAUUUACUUUUAUAAUUUUACCCUCAAUCCAGUUCUUCAUUAGGAUAUGCCAUCAAAUCAAUACCAGUAAUGUAGCUAUUAUCCUUAUUCCAGACAUUGCAUUAUAAUGAACAGAAAUGGCAUUACCUAUGUAGUAUAAGAUCUAAUUACAACAUGACAUGUCAGGGUCAGACUAACUUUAUAUAGCUUUGUCCAAUCAUCUGGAUGAAAAGCAGGCUCAUUUCCUCUUUAACUUAAAAUUUUGCUCCCUAUAAAAAGGCAAAUACUCCUAUAACAGUACUGCUUGAAAUUCUCAACCAUUUUUAUUUUGGUGUAAUAAAAAACAAGUCACCGUAUAUUUUUUAAAAGAAGAGACCACAAAGAUCAAUGGUUAAGAAAGGUAAGAGGCAGCGUAGAAAACUAAAAAGGACUUUGUGAGAGAAUCCUGUGGCCAAGGAUAAAUGUCAAAGACUACCUCUUGUCUCAGUUAUAGUUGUCAAGAUUAAACCACCAUGCUUAUUCUAGUGACCACACUCUACAAUAAGCUAGCAAGUUUAGUAGUAAUCUUUUCUAGGAGUAACAUAGGAGAUGCUUGUUAAUUAAAAUGCUAGAUUUCAGUGACUAGAAACCAAGAUGAAUAAAUGAAAAGUCAUGGUUCAGUAACUGUGCAGGAGCUAGAAGCAGAGUCCUGGUGUAUAUUAAUUGUGUGGCACAUAAAAUGGUUCCAAGGAACAGCUGUAGAGUAAUGGAAAGGGCUAUGAUGAAUAUAAUUCUGUUGGGAUGAAGCUCAGGUAUUGCAGGAACAAAUGCCAAUAUUUUUUCCAUACAGGGAUUAAUUACAUAGUCAACAGCUGGAAUUUACAAGGAAGCAUAUUAAAUAAAAUAGCAGGCAAGCUUGAACUGCAUUCCCACAAAAGCCAUAAAAUAGGAAUACCAAGAGAACUGGCAAAUGUAAUCUUUCACCUAUUUUUUUAAGGUACAGCUGUCCAUAUGCAGGUUGGGGAGAUGGAAAUUUGUGAGUAGCCAAUUGUGUGUCACAUUGGAAAGAUUCAAUAUAAAUAAUCUUAUGAAGGUAUUAAAACAACAACAACAAAAAAACAAAAACCUGUCCCUUUACAAUGGGAAUUGUCUCAAACGCACUUGAAUUUGAGUGGCGAUGACAUACUUGUUUUCCCGCCAUUUACCCAAAAGGGUAAAGGUAAAGGUGCCGUUACCCAAAAGGGUUCUUCCAUUUAUUCAUUGGCUGUGCGAGCUUGCUUUGUACAUGCUGCCUCCAAAAGCAUAGGAAAGCCAAUCAGUUCUCUUGGAACUUGGUAAGUUUCUGAAAAUGAAGUAUGGAAUCUUCAGAAAUGGAGAUCUAAUUUACAACAAUUUUAGCUGCAUAACCUGAUUGAGCAUAAUUUAAAAAUCUUUCAGCCCCUCUAAGAAUGAAAUCCAAACUCUUCACUGUUGCCUACAAAUCCUUGUGUGCUACGCCCCUGCCUCUCUUUGCAUCCUCAUUUCCUCACCCUCUCUCCUCUCACUACAGGGAGAUACACUGGCCUCCUGCCAGUUCUUCAAAAGACUCCUUCCAGCCUGGUGGAAUGUGGUCGCCUCUCCUGGAAUGCUGUUCCCCCUGCCCGUGGUAUGUCUGUCUCUUUUUUUAUCCAUUGGUUCUCAGCUUCCUCAAAGAGGUCUUUUCUGACUGCUCCUUACAAAUUAGGUCUCCUAAUUUCAUCAGAGUUCCAUCUUGGUUACCUCCAUAGAAUACAUCAUAAAUAAUAGUUAUUUGCUUACUUCUAGAAUAUCUCCCUAUCUGGACUACAACCAUAGUGAAGGUUGAAAGUGCCUUUUGAAUGCCUAAUACAGGGUCCAAACAUUCUACACUGCUUUUAAAAACUGGGUCAUAGAAUCUGGUUGUGAGAUAUGAUAAGCAUUUAAACAAUUCAAUAGAAUAGAAAAUAUCAGAACACAUUGCACAGGAUGAGAUAAGUACUUUUUAGUGAAAACAGUUUUCCUGAAAUCGGAGUAUAUGUGUGUGUGUGUGUGUGUGUGUGUGUGUGUGUGUGUCUGUCUGUCUGUCUGUCUGUCUGUCUGUCCUUAAGACUGUUCAGAGUAGGAAGAUGCUGAUAUGUCUUUUCAAAGGUACUAGAAAGUCUUUGCUCAAGAAGAGAAAGCCUGUGCUGGUUGCCAUCUGAACUUGCAUAAAGCUUCAUUCCUUUGCCUUACAGCGUUGUUUCCCUUUUCAUUGAAGAAGUUGUCGUAAGCAGCACUUAAAGACGUUUUGAUUUGCAUAUACAUUAAUAUUCUUAAGAUCCUUUCCCAGAAGGAGAUUUUGAUGGAAGGAAAGACUGAGGGAAGAACAUGGUGCCUUCAGGGAAAACAGUAACUUUUGGAAUGGGGAUAUAUUGUCAGCAGGGUUGAAAAAUGUAGAGAGUAAAGUAACAUGUCAUGUUAGGUCCGGCCAAGUAUUUGUCUACUUGACAAUUUGUAAAAAGCAGGGCCCUAAUGCUUCCUGUGGUCGGCCGGGAGAGUAGAGUGGUGGAAAGGAAACCAAAGUGUGUGUUUUAAUUUACUUUGUUAGAUGAACCAGUCUGCUGUGGUCUCAUUGGGCUGUAUUUGGUUAGGUCACUGGCUUCUAGUUUCCAGGUAGAAAAUGCAUCCCAUGUAUGAUAGUGAUAUUGAAACAUACUAGAAAAUUUCAGUUGAGCAUCCACUUUUGAAAUAGAGGAGAAUGGAGAAAAAUUUCCUCCUAUUCAGUAGUAUGGCUCGCUUUGGAGCCUUAAGAAUAUUUUUCUAACCCAACUUGGUUAAAUUUUAAAUAUUUCCAAAAUUUCUUACAGAUCAGGAAGAAAAAACAAAAUUAAAAAAUAAUUAAAAUUAAAGUAUGGUUGCUACAUUGGGAGCUCAGUAUAACUUCAUUUUCCUUUGGAGUUCAGCUUGCUGGGAGGAAAAUCUUUCUUCAAAUUCCACCCAAGCGACCAUCAUCCACACCCACUUUCUUUUUAAAGGAAAACAUUUACUUUUGUGACUUGCUCAUAAUGAAAUACAAAGGACCUCUUUGUGUGUGAAAAUGAAACUGGGUGUAAGCCUUUUAAGGAAAAAUUAAAGAAGGAUGUGCAUGUGGGGGGUGAAAUUCCCAAGUCUUGCUCAGCUGUUCUUGCCUACCUCCUACUUAGAAGCCAGGCUGCCCUGCACAGUCAGGGCCAGAUGUUGUGUAUGAGGGAGCAAAACAGCACCUCCAGUAGCUCACAGAUGAUGUGUGCAAACAAUGCAAGGCUAAGACUGUUCACAGUGCUAGGUGACAGGGCCUUGUCCAGAGCGAAUCUCAGCCAGGCAGUAUCUGAGAGAUGCUUUUUGCAAGACUGAUUUGUAUCGUCUUGGAGUUUUUGUGUCCUAUUUAGAUUAAGACACACUCUUUAGGUUCCUUUCCACCACUCUGCUCUCGAGCUGACCACAGGAAGCAUAAGGGUCCUGCUUUUGCAAAUUGUGAAGUAGACUAAUACUUGGAUCUAACUUGACCUCUUCCUUUCUACAUCCAAGCAGAAGGACAGCCUGCCGUUAAGAGUAAGGCAGAUGGGGAUAACCUAGCUGACAUAACUUAUUAUGUGAUUUGGGAAAAUUUGAGGCAGGAUUGGUGUACGUUGGGAAGACAAACCAAACACUGAAAAGAUUUAGAAAAGAAACAGCACCUUGAAGGCCAUUUCUGGAAUUGGCCAGGAGAUUCUUAGAAGCUUGGUCUCUGGCCAUUUCCCCAUUCUCUAUCCCCUCCAAUUCUUCAGCUUCCUCACCGUCAUCCCUGGUUAUUCCCAGUCCACUGGGUCUUUCUUCUCAGCCUGUAGAUCCUUGAGUCUAGACUGUACUGAAAUCAACAUUUGCUUUCCCCCACGGUCUUCUAACUUCUUUCUACUGGCAAAUUUCUUAAGCAAGUGGUUUAUACUCUGUCUCCAUUUGUGGAAAAGCCACUGUAAUACCAACCUUGGUAUCAAGAUUGUGCUACAGAAAUUUGCCAAAUAAAUCUUUUUGCCAAAAUUCAGGGGUCUUUUCUUAGCCUCAGGCUUUGUGUCCUCUCUGAAGCAUUUGAUACUAUCUCACGCUGUUUUGAAAAAAAUCAAUCCUCUUUUCUUUUCUUUUCUUUUCUUUUCUUUUCUUUUCUUUUCUUUUCUUUUCUUUUCUUUCUUUCUCUUUCUUUUUGUGAUAU